rnacentral:rRNA from 1 species
AACGAACGCUGGCGGCAUGCCUAACACAUGCAAGUCGAACGAGACCUUCGGGUCUAGUGGCGCACGGGUGCGUAACGCGUGGGAACCUGCCUUUAGGUUCGGAAUAACUCAGAGAAAUUUGAGCUAAUACCGGAUAAUGUCUUCGGACCAAAGAUUUAUCGCCUUUAGAUGGGCCCGCGUUGGAUUAGCUAGUUGGUGGGGUAAAGGCCUACCAAGGCGACGAUCCAUAGCUGGUCUGAGAGGAUGAUCAGCCACACUGGGACUGAGACAGGCCCAGACUCCUACGGGAGGCAGCAGUGGGGAAUAUUGGACAAUGGGCGAAAGCCUGAUCCAGCAAUGCCGCGUGAGUGAUGAAGGCCUUAGGGUUGUAAAGCGUCUUUUACCCGAGAUGAUAAUAGACAGUAUCGGGAGAAUAAGACUCCGGCUAACUCCGUGCCAGCAGCCGCGGUAA